GGUCAAUGAUGAGCUGGCAUGUAUUCUGAAUCCAAAGCUGAUUAUUAUUGCUUUAGCUCUAGAAUUACUCUGAGACCUG